GAAUUGAAUUCGAAUCGAAUGCGAAUCGAAUUCGCUAAUCGCGUUCACACACUCUUCUUUUUUAAUUGAAAUUGAUUCGAAUUGGCUAAUUCAAAUUAUCCAAUUCGAAUUAGAAAUACGUUUUUGUUAAUACGAAUUAAAAGUUAACGUCGUUUGGACAGUAAAGCAAAUUUGACGCGCAUUGUAAUUCGAAUUAGAAUUGACGUUAGGACGAAAAACGUUUCGAAUGCGAAUUAAACUAAUUCGAAUUA
rnacentral:lncRNA from 1 species